GACGAACGCUGGCGGCGUGCCUAAUACAUGCAAGUCGAGCGAACCGAUGAAGUGCUUGCACUUCUGACGUUAGCGGCGAACGGGUGAGUAACACGUAAGGAAUCUACCUAUAAGCGGGGGAUAACAUUCGGAAACGGGUGCUAAUACCGCAUAAUAUCUUCUUCCGCAUGGAAGAAGAUUGAAAGACGGCUCUGCUGUCACUUAUAGAUGACCUUGCGGUGCAUUAGUUAGUUGGUGGGGUAAUGGCCUACCAAGACGAUGAUGCAUAGCCGACCUGAGAGGGUGAUCGGCCACAUUGGGACUGAGACACGGCCCAAACUCCUACGGGAGGCAGCAGUAGGGAAUCUUCCGCAAUGGGCGAAAGCCUGACGGAGCAAUGCCGCGUGAGUGAAGAAGGCCUUCGGGUCGUAAAACUCUGUUAUAAGAGAAGAACAAAUUGUAGAGUAACUGCUACAGUCUUGACGGUAUCUUAUCAGAAAGCCACGGCUAACUACGUGCCAGCAGCCGCCGUAA
rnacentral:rRNA from 1 species